GACGAAGGGGGCUAGCGUUGUUCGGAAUUACUGGGCGUAAAGAGCGCGUAGGCGGUUUGGUAAGUUGGAAGUGAAAGCCCGGGGCUUAACCUCGGAAUUGCUUUCAAAACUGCCAGGCUAGAGUGUAGUAGGGGAUGAUGGAAUUCCUAGUGUAGAGGUGAAAUUCUUAGAUAUUAGGAGGAACACCGGUGGCGAAGGCGGUCAUCUGGGCUACAACUGACGCUGAGGCGCGAAAGCGUGGGGAGCAAACAGG
rnacentral:rRNA from 1 species